GGAUGAGAGACAGGGGGAUAGUGAGUUUUGUCUCAACCUUUAUGUUUGCCUCAGCAUUGAUCUCUGUCUCACCUCAACACUAAGGCGAGUUGAUGGUCUUCAGGCGUGGGUGGAGUUGCCAAAUAUUGUACUCAAGGCCGCUGUGACAGCUUGACAGCGUUGUCAUCCCUGUUGUCCUGUGUCAGCUCAUCAGCAAAGUCUCCAGCCACCAACAACCGCAUGGUUCACCAGUCUGAUCCCAACACAAGUCCAUACUGUAUAACAUUCACCCGUGGUCAUGCUUUACAAGUGUGAAAUCAAAAUACUGUAUUUUAUUUUAUUUUUAGUACGUACAGUAACAAUGACAUUUUAAGCAUCAUUGUUAUAAUGUACUGUAUGUUAUUGGUGCAGACUUAACUCUGUCUUCUGUCUUCCAGGAAGUAUUCAGCUAGGACAGAUGUACAACCACACAAAUCCAAUAAAAUCCAGUGUAUUGUGGGUCAUUGUCUUGUUGCAUGAGGAAACUUCUCCAGAUUAGUUUGGAUGCAUUUUUCUUUAAAUUGCCAGACAAAAUGGUUUGCCAACCUCCACAGGGCAGGGGUGAAGGUAUCACAAUCCACUGUUCGAAGAAGACUGAGAGAAAAGAAAUAUACAGGCCAUACCACGAGAUGCAAACCACUCAUCAGCAAAAAGAAUCGGAAGGCCAGAUUGGAUUUUGCAAAGAAGUACAGUAAAGAAGUUCCACAAAAGAUUUGGAACAAAGUUUUAUCGACUGAUGAGACAAAGAUUAACCUCUACCAAAGUGAUGGAAAGGCCAAAGUAUGGCGAAAGAAAGGAUCUGCUUAUGAUCCAAAACACACAAGGUCAUCUGUGAUCGUCUCGUCUGUCAUGUCAUGGCUUGGGCUUGCAUGGCUGCUUCUGGAACAGGCUCGCUAGUCUUUAUUGAUGAUGUAACUCAUGAUGGUAGAAUCAAUUGUGAAGUCUGCAAAACCAUUUUGUCUGGCAAUUUACAGAAAAUGUAUCCAAAGCUUCAUCGUGCAACAAGACAAUGACCCAAAACACACUGCCAACACAACGAAAGACUUCAUCAGGGGGACAAAGUGGAAGGUCUUAGACUGGCAAAGUGAAUCACCGGACCAUAACUCAAUUGAGCAUGCAUUUUGCCUCCUGAACCCCCCACAAACAAACAAGAACUGAAAGAGGGUGCAGUAAAGCAUUUUAAAAUGAAGAAUGCAACAGUUUGGUGAAGUCAAUGGGUCACAGGCUUGAUGCAGUUAUUGCAAGUAAGGGUUAUGCAACCAAAUAUUCAAUGUUAUUCACUUUAAGUUAAUUUAAUCAUGUCUGUUCCAAUACUUUUGCUCACUUGAAAAGUGGGUAGCUUCAAACAAAAGGUGCUCUGUCCUGAGUUGUUUAACACAUCUAGAUGUAAAUACCAAGAAAAGAAAGCUGGAAUUCUGAACUUUUGUCUCGUAUUCAUCUUUUGAUCUGAAACACAAAAAAAUUUGUCGUUUCCAAUACUUCUUCAGGGGACUGUAAAUGAAGCAAAAGAGACAUAAAGUGAAUAGUUGAUAUGAGUACAGGUCGUGCACACAAACUGAACGCUUGCACACAGCAGAUGAAGUUACAACAUUAGCAUGGUAAAUAUGGUAACCACUCAUGUUUUGGGAAACGAUGCAUUCCAAGGUACUGAAUAGGUCUGCACAGAGAAGUUGCGUUCAUGUGGACUGGUACAGAAUUUGAACAAAGUCUCUGGCGCUCAUAAUUCGAUCUCUCACAUCCAGUGAGUGCCACUUUCAAGUGAAUUUCUCUCUCUUUCUGUCUUUCUCAUGCACACACACCUCACAAUUAAUCACAGGAGUGACUUUGUGAAACAUCUGAACAAUGCAACACCCUGAUACACACAAGCGUGUGAGCACACCCUUGAUCCUUAACGAAGGGGACUAUUUCAUUUGGAGUAAUAAGUUUUUGUAUAAACUGCCUGGAAAAGGAAUUGAACUGUGCUGGUUAUGGCUUUGUGCAAGGUAACCAGAGCUGCAUUGAAUUUUGUGGCUUGCACAGAUUCGUGUUCACUAACAGCAUUAGCUUCUGAUAAGCGGCGCUUACUUAAUAGCUCGGUGGAGUAAACGACACGGCAGCGGUGCUGGGGUAUUUGUUUGGCAAUGUGUCCAUACGCCACAUGAACGCAAUAGUGUAUGUACUGCUGCCUCCAUGAGUUCAAAUACUUUCAUUAUCUUCACAGGUGCUCAGUUUUUCCACCCUCUGGGCAGCUGUCAGCUGCAGAUCACAAUGGCCACCGAGAGACGAAAAGAAAGCCAGACUCACCAACGGCCCGGCAGCAUAUUGGUCAGAAAUACGUGUUUGGCCCUUCCUCCAUCCACAGGGGAGGCUGCACCAGCUGUUGCCCAACAGGGGUUCCGUUUUCUGUGGAGGCCACUUAAGGCUCAGUGAAGCAGCCCGAGACGAUCCGCGGUCCGCGAACGCAGCACAACAAGGUGGAUGCAGUGAAUGCAACUUGUUGACAGACAGCACCAGGAAUGUUCGGGACAUGACGUGGGACGACGACAUAUACAAGUGCAGCUCAACACACUGGAAGAUUUUGGAA